rnacentral:rRNA from 1 species
GAUGAACGCUGGCGGCGUGCCUAAUACAUGCAAGUCGAGCGAACAGACGAGGAGCUUGCUCCUCUGACGUUAGCGGCGGACGGGUGAGUAACACGUGGAUAACCUACCUAUAAGACUGGGAUAACUUCGGGAAACCGGAGAUAAUACCGGAUAAUAUAUUGAACCGCAUGGUUCAAUAGUGAAAGACGGUUUUGCUGUCACUUAUAGAUGGAUCCGCGCCGCAUUAGCUAGUUGGUAAGGUAACGGCUUACCAAGGCAACGAUGCGUAGCCGACCUGAGAGGGUGAUCGGCCACACUGGAACUGAGACACGGUCCAGACUCCUACGGGAGGCAGCAGUAGGGAAUCUUCCGCAAUGGGCGAAAGCCUGACGGAGCAACGCCGCGUGAGUGAUGAAGGUCCUCGGAUCGUAAAACUCUGUUAUUAGGGAAGAACAAAUGUGUAAGUAACUAUGCACGUCUUGACGGUACCUAAUCAGAAAGCCACGGCUAACUACGUG